GCUUCUUUACUGUGAAGAGAUUGUCUGAGUACGUGGGGCUAGAUUAGUUCCUAUAAUAUGCCUAAAGAACUAUGUGCUGUGUUUCAGGUCUUGGGAGCCCCAUCUUUCCGAAUGUUGGCCUGGCAUGUCCUCAUGGGUAAUCAGGUGAUCUGGAAAAGCAGAGAUGUGAACCUUGUCCAUUCCGCAUUUGAAGUCCUCCGGACCAUGCUGCCUGUAGGCUGUGUGCGAAUCAUCCCUUACAGCAGCCAGUAUGAGGAGGCCUAUCGCUGCAACUUCCUAGGGCUCAGCCCUCCGGUGCCUAUCCCUGCUCAUGUCCUGGCCUCUGAGUUCGUAGUUGUCGUGGAGGUACACACAGCCACUCGCUCAAACCCGCACCCGGCUGGAUGUGAGGACGACCAGUCCCUCAGCAAGUAUGAGUUUGUGGUGACCAGCGGUAGCCCUGUGGCUGCAGACAGAGGUGGGUGCUGCUGCUGUCUCCCUUCAUCGGGGAGGGGAGGGGUCACCGAGGCCUCUGCAUCGUCUGGUGUUUGUAUCUCCAGUUGGGCCCACCAUCCUGAAUAAAAUGGAGGCAGCUCUGACCAACCAGAACCUGUCUGUGGAUGUGGUGGACCAGUGCCUCGUCUGUCUCAAGGAGGAGUGGAUGAACAAAGUGAAAGUCCUGUUCAAAUUCACCAAGGUGGACAGCCGCCCCAAGGAGGACACCCAGAAGCUCCUGAGCGUCCUCGGCGCAUCAGAGGAGGACAACGUUAAGCUACUGAAGUUCUGGAUGACGGGCCUGAGCAAAACCUACAAGUCACACCUCAUGUCCACAGUCCGAAGCCCGACAGCCGCAGAGUCACGGAACUGACUCCGAGAACACCGUCUGGAAGGUGGUGUACAUCUUAGCUCUGUGGGAAAGACUGCCCUUGGGUUUCUGAGUGCUGGCGUGAGAUCCUGUUUGAGGAGUGAAGACUUACGGGCUAGGCCUCGCCCUCCUUGUGAGGCUCUCUUAGCCCAUGUUGAAGUGUAGGGGACACAGGGACAGUGGUCCCACUGCAUAAAAUUGCUCUGUCAGGAACUGGUGAGAUGUGCUAUGUGCCUCUUGAGGAGAAAGGCUGGGAGCUGAGAGGAGUCUACGAGCCAGCCUCUGAGGUUUUGUUGUUGCAGGAUGUCCUCGUGGGCUUAGGACAACACCUUCCCACCAUGGAAGACCAAGCAUCCUGGAUCGUUUGUCUUUGGGUUGAUGACUUCUCAGGUCAUGUGCACACCCGUGGCCUCUGG
rnacentral:lncRNA from 1 species